rnacentral:tRNA from 1 species
AAAUAAUUUUUAUCUCUUUUUUUUGGAGAGAUGGCCGAGAGGAUUAAAGCGUCGGAUUGC